rnacentral:rRNA from 1 species
GACGAACCGUGCGAACGUUAUUCGGAAUCACUGGGCUUAAAGGGCGCGUAGGCGGGCGGCCAAGUCCGGGGUGAAAGCCCCCAGCUCAACUGGGGAAGUGCCUUGGAAACUGGUCGUCUUGAGGGAGGUAGGGGCAUGUGGAACUUCGGGUGGAGCGGUGAAAUGCGUUGAUAUCCGAAGGAACGCCGGUGGCGAAAGCGACGUGCUGGAUCUCUUCUGACGCUGAGGCGCGAAAGCCAGGGUAGCGAACGGG